rnacentral:lncRNA from 1 species
ACCACUAAAUAUUAGCAUUCUAUCGAUUGAGAGGGAAACGCAACCUUCUAUAUAAAGGGGUUGAAACUCUUUUCUAUCAUGAUGUGUUUCGCAUGGGUAUGCAAGUCGUUGGAUGAGCCGUGAGUUUCUGAAUGGACAAUCUAUCGGGACAAAGCAGAUAGCGUCCUGAAACGGUUAACAUGGGAUGUUACAGAAAAGUGACAACCGAACUACCGCACCGAAAGAUUACAGGUUUAUUUAAAAAGACUUGGAUAAAGAGGGCUUGAGGGAACUAAAGACUCACAGGAUUUUCAAAU